rnacentral:rRNA from 1 species
AAUUGAGUACAUAAAUGUCACGCUGUAGAAACGUGGCGGCAAACCCUAGUAAAGCGCUCCCACCCCAGCAAUCCUUCGGGAUAGUGGUGUCUCGGUUCAAGGAAGUAUCCGCAUAGUCGUGUAAAUACCACUUAAAUUGAGCAGCCAACACCCCUUUGGUCAUCGUCGGCCAUCCUCGGCCGAUAUUUGUCAGCGCAGUGACCCGCAAAUCAUGUGACAUCUGAUCCUCCAAAUUGAUCAGCCCAGUGAACGUGAUGCCCCAUUUUAUACUAGCCGUUAGGAGCUCCAGAUCCUUCGUAGGCGCAUCCAAGGCGGAGUUAGCGAAAGCUUGGGCUACCGCCAUGGCUAAACAAUUGCCCGUCGCGGGUGUAAGCGCUCUGUCUCACGAAGGGGUUCAACCUCAGGACGAGGCUCCAUCGGGAUCACAUUGCGACGCUCGGUCAGGAGCCGACUUACCAACCGCGCGCAGGAGUUACACUCCCGACGCUUUUUGGUUAAAAGCGUUGGCCCGGAAAGGACGGGCGCUUUACCCAUGUGGGUGGCCUCCCGUUGUCGGGUCCGCGUAUCAAGCGAUUGAUGAGGAACGGCAGAAUCUGGGGUUGGACUCAGUGAAAGAUCAGUCCCUUCUGAAGAUUCGUCGGUGGCAUGCUCGGUGACCGGAUCAGGAACCGAAUCCUCGCUAUCGUCCUCCAAAUCCUGCAAGACAUGAAACCCGCCGGAUGUGGAGCCUGUAUUGGCUGCGAGCGACUUGGACGAGAACCCCAGACGCCUCCCCCCUCGUAGAGGUCGUGUCAGCCAAGGUUGCGCGGGCCGGGUCCUUGGCGCAGGAGGGGGAGGCCCUACGUUUGAGGUGUUAUCAGUGUACACCGGCUGUACAAGUGUCCUAGUCGACUGAUGCACAGGCACCGGUGGCCUUCUGGGCGGUACGUCCGACACGGCUGUAGUCACCGCUGCCUGAGCUGCCGCUUCCGCAGACUGUUGUAGUUCAAGCCGCCGGCUGGCCAUCUGCCUCAUCUCCUCCGGACCGCUGAAUGGUUUGGCCAGGUCUUCGACAGUCUGAAGCUCCUCCUCUUUAACCUCAAUACCGCCGGGACCCCAGAGUUGCGCAUCCGUAAACUGACAACAUGCCGCAGGGUGAUCCAAGUUGAUACACUGUAAACAUUGUAAACGUCGAACGACUUCCGGGUGCUUGAUAAUGAUCGGUGUCCCGAACCAAAGAAGUCUUACAAUCCCUUGGAGAAAAGUGGGUCAUCCCGCCAGGAAAAAGGUGACCUUACAAACCGUAGACGUCCUGGAGGUGGGAGUGCACGUAUCCAUAUCAUCCAGCUCAAAAGCGGUGGGAAUUUUGGAGCGGAAAUAAGCUGCGACGCGCCCAAUCUCAUUGAACCGUAUCACAUUACGGAGAAAUAUAGAGCAUUCAGUGCGGGAGUGCCCCGAACGACAGUCAGGUCCCCGUUUGUAUUAGCCAAACGGACCCCCGUGCCGGCUCGUGUACAUUCUCGAGAGUGUACACACGCCCCUGAAACGGUAUGCGAAUAUCCUGAGCAAUUUCACCACUUUGCUAAGGUGAAUGAGAGAACUAUAUUGAAGGAACUCGGCAAAAUGACUUUGUAACUUCGGGAUAAAAAGUACCUAAUUUUAAAAAUUAGGUGUCACAAAAUAGGGGGUUGCGACUGUUUAAUAAAAACUUAGGACUCUGCUAAAUGGUAACAUGAUGUAUAGGGUCUGACACCUGCCCGGUGCUGGAAGAUUAAAAGGAAAUGUUUACGCAUUAAAUGGAAGUCCCAGUAAACGGCGGCCGUAACUCUGACGGUCCUAAGGUAGCGAAAUUCCUUGUCGGGUAAGUUCCGACCUGCAUGAAUGGUGUAACGACAUCCCCGCUGUCUCCAAUAUAGACUCAGUGAAUUUGAAUUAUCCGUGAAGAUGCGGAUUUUCUAUAGUUAGACGGAAAGACCCCGUGAACCUUUACUACAUCUUUAUAUUGUUAUUUUAUAUAAUAUGUGUAGUAUAAGUGGUAAUCGUUAAGACUUUUACGCUAGUAAAUUGUUUAGAUAUUUUUUGAAAUACCACUCUUAUUAAAAUAAAUAACUAAUAUUUUUUAAAAUAGACAUUGUAUGGUUGGUAGUUUGACUGGGGCGGUCACCUCCUAAAGAGUAACGGAGGUGUACAAAGGUAAGCUCAAAUUGGAAUAAUAAAAUCAAUUGUAGAGUAUAAUGAUAAAAGCUUGCUUGACUGUAAGAUAGACAUAUCAAACAGGGACGAAAGUCGGUCAUAGUGAUCCGAUAAUUCUUUGUGGAAAGAUUAUCGCUCAACGGAUAAAAGGUACUCCGGGGAUAACAGGCUGAUGACUCCUAAGAGCUCCUAUCGACGGAGUCGUUUGGCACCUCGAUGUCGACUCAUCACAUCCUGGAGCUGAAGAAGGUUCCAAGGGUUCGGCUGUUCGCCGAUUAAAGUGGUACGUGAGUUGGGUUUAGAACGUCGUGAGACAGUUUGGUUCCUAUCUUCUAUAGAUAUUUUAAAAAAUGAAAGAAUCUAACUCUAGUACGAGAGGACCGAGAAGGGUAAAUCUCUGGUGUAUCGGUUGUUGAAAAGCAUCGCCGAGUAGCUAAAUUUAUUUUGGAUAAUUACUGAAAGCAUCUAAGUAAGAAACCAUUCUUAAAAAUUUUUUAUAUAAAAACUGUAAAAGAUCAUUACAUUGAUAGGUUUAAAGUGUACGUAUUGUAAAAUAUUUAGCUUAAAAAUACUAAAAGUUUUAAAAAUUAAAAUA